GGACCUGUGGGGUAGAGGAUUAUCCUUUCGGCCUUCGGAGCCGAUCACCCGGGUUCGAAUCCCGGCAGGUCCA
rnacentral:tRNA from 1 species